rnacentral:lncRNA from 1 species
UAUAGAUAUAUAUUGAUAUAUUUUAAAAUAUAUAUUCACUUAUUCUGGUUCGUUGUAGUCUAGAAUCCCUAACAAACUUAUAUAACAACUUACCCUGUAUGUAUGAAAUUUCUAUGCUGUGUUUAACUCUAAUAGACUGAUCUUGCUCGACGUUUGCGAGAGUGUAUAGGACAUAGGAGGCGCGAUGAAGAUCCUCCUCGACUCGCCCCUCAUGGGCGAGUUCAUCGGCUACCUCAAGUCCAGCUGGGGCGAGAACUCGCGGGUGAGCCAGCGCCGGCGCCGGCUGCGGCAGCUAGUGGCGAUGGUGCGCGGGGUGGCGGACGCCGCCGAGGCCCGGGCGGCCGUGCGGCGCAGCUCCCUCCGCCUCUGGCUGCAGCUGCUGCGGAAGGAGGCGCUGCGGGGGCAGGAGGUGCUCGACGCCACCAGCGACCCCUCCGCCGUCGUCGGCUCGGCCAA